UUUCCCUAGUAGCGGCGAGCGAAGCGGGAAGAGCUCAAAUUUAUAAUCUGGCACCUUCGGUGUCCGAGUUGUAAUCUCUAGAAAUGUUUUCCGCGUUGGACCGCACACAAGUCUGUUGGAAUACAGCGGCAUAGUGGUGAGACCCCCGUAUAUGGUGCGGACGCCCAGCGCUUUGUGAUACAUUUUCGAAGAGUCGAGUUGUUUGGGAAUGCAGCUCAAAUUGGGUGGUAAAUUCCAUCUAAAGCUAAAUAUUGGCGAGAGACCGAUAGCGAACAAGUACCGUGAGGGAAAGAUGAAAAGCACUUUGGAAAGAGAGUUAACAGUACGUGAAAUUGUUGGAAGGGAAACGCUUGAAGUCAGACUUGCUUGCCGAGCAAUCGGUUUGCAGGCCAGCAUCAGUUUUCCGGGAUGGAUAAUGGUAGAGAGAAGGUAGCAGUUUCGGCUGUGUUAUAGCUCUCUGCUGGAUACAUCUUGGGGGACUGAGGAACGCAGUGUGCCUUUUGGCGGGGGUUUCGACCUCUUCACACUUAGGAUGCUGGUGGAAUGGCUUUAAACGACCCGUCUUGAAACACGGACCAAGGAGUCUAACAUGCUUGCGAGUAUUUGGGUGUCAAACCCGGAUGCGUAAU
rnacentral:rRNA from 1 species